UCCAAUUCGUUUGAUCACUUGCUUGUUGCCGUCACCGCCUUACACCAAAUGGAGAAUACAACUCCUCUGCAAAUCCAGCUCCGUAACAUCUCUAACCAGCAUUCAAUCGAUAUAAUUAAUGACCACAUUUACAUCACUUAAACCACUACAACUCAUUCGCCCCUUCUAUCUUCCAUGGUUACAGAAGAAAUCUUCUCCUAUAAAUAAAUAUAUCACCUUUAAUUAAAUUCAUCACUCAUCACUUCGAUGGAAAAGUGUUAGGUUCAUCAAAGGAAUAUAAACGUGUCAUUGAUCUUGACACUGAAGAUCAAUCAGCUCGGCAGCAUCGUAGAAGGGAAGAGAACAAUGAGAAGAUGCCUUUUGUGUCCGAGUACCAGAAGAAGAUGGUCCUGCUAUAAAGGGUUUUAGUCGGAGUAGACUGAGAUAGCUUGAUGGCUAUUAUUAAGCCAUCGCUGAUUUAAAGGUUCUACAGAAGAAGCAAAAAUAUUUUACAAAAGAAUAUGGUUGCGGUAGUAGAUGUGGAAAAAAUAGCGGCUUGGUUUGUUGGUGUUUUUUGGGGAUUCUCCUGGUUUUCAUUGUUUGAUGUAUUAUGUUCAUGCAUUUAUCUUGAUCAUUAUGUUUAUGUACAAUACUUGAAACAUAGAGAAUGUGAGUAUGAUCUCAAGACAUGUACAUACUUUUACAAAGUGAGUUUCACAACAUGUCCAGUUCUAUGA